rnacentral:rRNA from 1 species
UCCCAGACUCCUACGGGAGGCAGCAGUGGGGAAUAUUGCACAAUGGGGGAAACCCUGAUGCAGCAACGCCGCGUGAGUGAAGAAGUCAUUCGUGAUGUAAAGCUCUAUCAGCAGGGAAGAAAAUGACGGUACCUGAGUAAGAAGCCCCGGCUAACUACGUGCCAGCAGCCGCGGUAAUACGUAGGGGGCAAGCGUUAUCCGGAUUUACUGGGUGUAAAGGGAGCGCAGGUGGCAAGGCAAGCCAGAAGUGAAAACCCGGGGCUUAACCCCGCGGAUUGCUUUUGGAACUGUCUGGCUGGAGUGCAGGAGGGGCAGGCGGAAUUCCUGGUGUAGCGGUGAAAUGCGUAGAUAUCAGGAGGAACACCGGUGGCGAAGGCGGCCUGCUGGACUGUAACUGACACUGAGUCUCGAAAGCGUGGGAAGCAAACAGGAUUAGAUACCCCCGUA